GACGAACGCUGGCGGCGUGCUUAACACAUGCAAGUCGAACGGAAAGGCCCUGCUUUUGUGGGGUGCUCGAGUGGCGAACGGGUGAGUAACACGUGAGUAACCUGCCCUUGACUUUGGGAUAACUUCAGGAAACUGGGGCUAAUACCGGAUAGGAGCUCCUGCUGCAUGGUGGGGGUUGGAAAGUUUCGGCUGUUGGGGAUGGACUCGCGGCUUAUCAGCUUGUUGGUGGGGUAGUGGCUUACCAAGGCUUUGACGGGUAGCCGGCCUGAGAGGGUGACCGGCCACAUUGGGACUGAGAUACGGCCCAGACUCCUACGGGAGGCAGCAGUGGGGAAUAUUGCAAAAUGGGCGGAAGCGUGAUGCAGAAACGCCGCGUGCGGGAUGACGGCCUUCGGGUUGUAAACCGCUUUCGCCUGUGACGAAGCGUGAGUGACGGUAAUGGGUAAAGAAGCACCGGCUAACUACGUG
rnacentral:rRNA from 1 species